ensembl:lncRNA
GCACGCUUCACAUAUGCAGCGUUUAGUCAUUUCUCCUCGUCCUCGCUGCGGUUGUUUAGGCAGGUGAUGACGCAGCAAUCGCACUCGGGACCAAAACAAACCAGAUCGGGAGCAUGAGACCGAGGUGUGGUUCAAUUGCAGUGAGGAAGUGAUUCGACUCUGAAUCGACUCGGAUGCAGGAAGCGAAUCAAACAUGCCUUGUGUUUUGGUUUGCAAUUUUUUUGUCUCUUUUUGUUUUGUUUUUUUUGGAGAGUUCCAAGCUGCUAAACCGAGCCAAACGACUCCAAAUACGCCGCAAUACACAAAAUAUUAGAAACGAAUCGUUUUAUAGAAUUUUUCGAUUAUUUGUUUAACACUGGCUCCGCGUUCACGCCACUCAGGGUCAUUUUUGUAACGUCUCUAUGGAAGAAGAGUUUUCUCUUCUUUUUUUUUUUUUUUUUUUUUUUUUGUUUGUUUGUUUUUUGUUUUUUUAUGUUGAAAACAAAACUAAAUCAAAUAGGAUGAUUUAGCAGAAUGAUCAGAUUCACUGAAAUCUAGCACACGGUGUCCACCAUUUAUUUUCUUCUGUUUAUUUUUAUCUGGCUUGUUUGUUUGUUUUCAGUCUUGAUUGGAUCUUAAAGCAGGUUACACUUGUUAAGUCGGACUAAGCCUCGGCACGUCCUCACCGUCUCUUCGCUCAGCAUGUCCCGACAUAACACACCGCUCUCACCCGACGCGAGAGCUGCUGACGUGCACAGACAAAGGCAGCCAUUUCUCCCAAUCCCACUACAGGAAGUUCUGUCCUGCCGGAUGUGGAGCUGCAGAGGGUGAUGUGGCCGGAGACGUUUCUCAGGGCUACAGACAC